GGAAUCUUGGACAAUGGGGGAAACCCUGAUCCAGCGACGCCGCGUGACCGAUGAAGGCCCUCGGGUCGUAACGGUCUUUCAGCGGGGACAAUCAUGAUGGUACCCGCAGAAGCAGGAGCGGCUAACUACGUGCCAGCAGCCGCGGUAAUACGUAGGCUCCAAGCGUUGUUCGGAAUUACUGGGCGUAAAGCGAGUGUAGGCGGUCCGCCAAGUCGGCUGUGAAAUCUCCUGGCUCAACUGGGAGGGUGCGGCCGAAACUGACGGACUAGAGUUCGGGAGAGGAGAGUGGAAUUCCUGGUGUAGCGGUGAAAUGCGUAGAUAUCAGGAGGAACAUCGGUGGUGAAGACGGCUCUCUGGACCGAUACUGACGCUGAGACUCGAAAGCGUGGGGAGCAAAC
rnacentral:rRNA from 1 species